rnacentral:misc_RNA from 1 species
UUUCCCAUUUUGUAUAAUGGUUUCCCCCCAUUCCCACUUCUCAUUUGUGUUUUCUUGUGCACAUGCUUGCAACUGUGUGUUUGUGAAUGUGUGUCGCUUAUCAGUUAAAUUCUCUUAAAGGUGAGUCAAAUAAUUUUUACUUCAAAAUAGUGGUUUAGUGCAAGGCUGAAAGCUAUGUUCAUAUAUUUUUAUGAAAUUAAGCUUCAUUAACUGUUUUAGGUGCCAAGUAGUGGAUCUUGUAAAAUAAUGAUUUAGAAGAUGAAAUGUUACAGGUCUUACCCUUUCCGUAAUGUAUUCCUAAUAUGAUGUGACCAUUUUGGAGCAGAGAUGUGUUAUAGGCUCUCUUUUAAAAAAUUUG